rnacentral:lncRNA from 1 species
AACAAAAAUUGUCACUCAGUUCAGUUAAACAACCAAUUAGUUCAACCUUACAAUCAGGAAAUCUCUUUCUUUUAAAAAUGAAUUAAUUAUUUGGCUGACUGAGUUGACAGGUUAUUUUCGGGAAAGUAGCUAAAUUGGGUCUUGUGUGUAAGCAUAACCUCAAUUGUCAGAACUCUAAUUCUCAUUAAGUCAAUGGAAUCAGAUAUGUAGAGGCAUAGACAGCUUUUUCUUUUCUUUUAUGUUAUCUCUUUCUACUCAGCUGUUGAUUUUCUUUCCUACACGGAUUAUGGAUUUUAGUUUUCCAAUGGCCCAGCAACUAUUACCUGAGUUUACAGACUGUGUACCUGUGCAAAGAACUCAGUUCUGGAUGGCGAAUGGUACUGAAGGAAGAGUGUGCUAAUUUCAAUUAACUGACUUGAGUGGCAGAAAUGUAUAAAUAAAGUUGUCAUAACAGAAGUUUAAUGAUUCUGA